rnacentral:rRNA from 1 species
GUAGGGAAUAUUGCACAAUGGGGGAAACCCUGAUGCAGCGACGCCGCGUGAGUGAUGAAGGCCUUCGGGUCGUAAAGCUCUGUCGUAUGGGACUAACAAAAUGAAGGUACCAUGCAAGAAAGGAUCGGCUAACUUCGUGCCAGCAGCCGCGGUAAGACGAGGGAUCCUAGCGUUGUUCGGAAUUAUUGGGCGUAAAGCGGGUGUAGGCGGGCCUGUCAGUCAGGUGUGAAAUCCCAGGGCUUAACCCUGGAAGUGCACUUGAUACUGCAGGUCUUGAGUGUGGUAGAGGCUAUUAGAAUUCUUGGUGUAGUGGUGAAAUACGUAGAUAUCAAGAGGAAUACCGGAGGCGAAGGCGGAUAGCAGGGCCAACACUGACGCUGAGACCCGAAAGCGUGGGGAUCAAACAGGAUUAGAAACCCGAGUAGUCC